GACGAACGCUGGCGGCGUGCUUAACACAUGCAAGUCGAACGGAAAGGCCUGCUUUCCCUUGUGGAUUGCGGGUGCUCGAGUGGCGAACGGGUGAGUAACACGUGAGUGAUCUGCCCCCAACUUGGGUAUAAGCCUGGGAAACUGGGUCUAAUUCCCGAUAGGACUGCAGGGUGGUGCCUGUGGUGGAACACGAUUUUCUAGUGGUUGGGGAUGAGCUCGCGGCCUAUCAGCUUGUUGGUGGGGUAAUGGCCUACCAAGGCGGCGACGGGUAGCCGGCCUGAGAGGGUGGACGGCCACAUUGGGACUGAGAUACGGCCCAGACUCCUACGGGAGGCAGCAGUGGGGAAUAUUACACAAUGGGCGGAAGCCUGAUGCAGCGACGCCGCGUGGGGGAUGACGGCCUUCGGGUGGUAAACUCCUUUCGACCGCGAGGAAGCCGCCUGGUUGGAAGGGUGGUGACGGUAGUGGUAGAAGAAGCACCGGCUAACUACGUG
rnacentral:rRNA from 1 species